CCUACGGGAGGCAGCAGUAGGGAAUCUUCCACAAUGGACGAAAGUCUGAUGGAGCAACGCCGCGUGAGUGAAGAAGGGUUUCGGCUCGUAAAGCUCUGGUGGAAGUGAAGACAGAUAGAGGUAGUAACUGGCCUUUAUUUGACGGUAAUUACUUAGAAAGUCACGGCUAACGACGUGACAGCAGCAGCGGUAAUACGUAGGUGGCAAGCGUUGGCCGGAUUUAGUGGGCGUAAAGCGAGUGCAGGCGGUACAAUAAGUCUGAUGUGAAAGCCUUCGGCUCAACCGGAUGAUUGCAUCAGAAACUGUUGAACUUGAGUGCAGAAGAGGAGAGUGGAACUCCAUGUGUAGCGGUGGAAUGCGUAGAUAUAUGGAAGAACACCAGUGGCGAAGGCGGCUCUCUGGUCUGCAACUGACGCUGAGGCUCGAAAGCAUGGGUAGCGAACAGGAUUAGAUACCCGUGUAGUC
rnacentral:rRNA from 1 species